AGUUAUGUCGCUCAGUCCUGACUGCACAUCAAGAUUAACUGGAGAACCUCUUCAAAAGUAUGCCAACUUUCAAGCCUUAUGUCAGACAAACUGAGUCAGAGUUUCUGUAAUAGCUUUCAAACUAUUCCCUAGACACUACUGCAGGAUGAGAGCUGAGAGAUGCUGCCUUUCACUGGUGCUGAGCUAAGCAGUUAAUCCUGGAUCACUUGGGAGUGAUCACCAAAUGGAACCUGACUAGUGUACAAGGAAGCUACUGUUUAAAAGGAAAGUGCAAAUGAAUCUCACUUGUAAGGUGAUAGAUGGAGAAGAAAGCAGAGAAGGUGAAUAAAUAAUUAACAGUUCUGAAUUCUCUGUAGCAACCAGGUCUUGGUAGCAAAAAGAAAUAAUCAACUCCAGGACACCAUGGCACAAUCAAAUGACAGCAAGUGAAAGUGUCAGUGAUGAGUGAGAUUUUAUAUGAUGAGCAGCUUCUUCUGUCACACGCUCCCACUGUGAUGAUGUCCUAUUUCACCACACUCUCGUCGCAAUGGAGUCAACCAACAAGUGAAAAUUAUAAGCCAAAACAUA